AAAUUGUUGCAGUCUUCAUCUUCAUCAUCCUCUAGCACAACAGCUAAGUGUUUUUCAUUACCAUGAAUGAACCCUCCGCUAUGGAAACUGAGUUGCACAUCUUCAGAUCUAGCCACUCGUGAUCCUUGUUGGAAAUCCAACCCGACUCUACUCUUGUUGUCGGAGACCUCUACCAUAUGUCCCCACUGAUCAGACUAACCAUCUUCAAUAAUUUUCAGCUUACCAUUCUUGACAAACUUCAAUUUCUGAUUGAAAGUUGAAGUAACGACUCCUGCCUC
rnacentral:lncRNA from 1 species